AAAGAUUCUCAGCAAACUACAAAGGAAGCCACUGAAAACAAUUUUUCUGCAUUUCUAAACUGCACAAGAGAGGAAAGCUUCAAGGCUGUGUUAUAGACAUUCAACAAUACUUCAGAGGAAUCCUUAAAAGGAUUCCAAAGCCAGAGGACACUGUGAUUAUUUUACUGGAUCUUGUAUAUAAAUAGGCCAUGAAUUUCCAAACAGCGCCGAAUCUUUUCCCUUUGCAGCUGUCCAGGGACAACCAUGUACUUUUCCGGGGUCAAAUUAUCUUUGAAGAAUGGAAGGCAUUUGUAGUGUGUGCAGUAACAUAACUUAAAGAAGACAGGAGAGAAAAAAGAAGUGAAAAACUUGCAGCAUUAAGUGGGAGAUGCAUGAGGAAUGGGAAGUGAAGUCCCUUGGAAAGUGAAGUCUACUGGUGGUGUCCAGAGGAUAUUCUUUUCCCGUGGUCCUUUCCUGUUAAAAUGGAUGUGCUACAAUGGAAGUCUCUUACCAUGCCGGUUUGAAGGAGGCACUUCCUAUUUCCCUGGCGUGAGUCAUGGGGUUUAUCUGAACAGGGAAGAUGGGAUAACCUCCAACCAACAUCCCAGGUCAGCUGUGUGAGCCUGCCCAGGGCCUGCCCUUGCACCUCACAGCCAGGAGCCAGCACAGAGCCCCAUUUCCAGCCCCACGCUGCACACAAACCCACAGCAGCUCCCCAUCAGAGCAGCCCUGCUGUGGUUUCUGUGAGCACUUGUGACAAUUUCCUCUGCUGAUCAGAUCAUCAGUCAGAUUAGAAGCAGAACUUUGUAGAUCCCUAAGAAAUUUGCUCAUGGUGCAUCAGGUUUCUGAGACAGCUCUUCCCCACUUAGCAAGAAUUGAAGCUCAG